UACGUAGGGUGCGAGCGUUAAUCGGAAUUACUGGGCGUAAAGCGUGCGCAGGCGGUUAGCCGUGUCCGAUGUGAAAGCCCCGGGCUCAACCUGGGAAUGGCAUUGGAAACUGGCUGGCUGGAGUGUGGCAGAGGGGGGUGGAAUUCCACGUGUAGCAGUGAAAUGCGUAGAGAUGUGGAGGAACACCGAUGGCGAAGGCAGCCCCCCUGGGCCAACACUGACGCUCAGGCACGAAAGCGUGGGGAGCAAACAGG
rnacentral:rRNA from 1 species